rnacentral:misc_RNA from 1 species
UGCAAGUGUUAUGGCUCAAAAGAUUCAAUUUAAUACAUAUGGUGGAAACCCUGUUUGCUCUGCUGGUGGACAUGCAGUACUUAAAGUUAUUGAGAAGGAACAACGCCAAAAGCAUUGUGCUGAGGUUGGCUCACACUUGUUUGGGCGGCUGAGGGAUCUAGAGAAAAGAUACGACAUAAUUGGAGAUGUGAGAGGCAGAGGUUUGAUGGUUGGUAUUGAACUGGUAACUGACAGAAAAGAGAAGACACCCGCCAAGGCAGAAACUGGAGUUCUCUUUGAGAAGCUUAAAGAUCUUGGUGUUCUAGUAGGGAAAGGUGGUAUACAUGGAAAUGUUUUCAGAAUAAAGCCUCCCAUGUGUUUCAGCAAGGAUGAUGCAGAUUUCCUAGUUGAUGCACUGGACUAUUCUCUUUCAAAGUUGUGAGCAUAUGGCAUAUUGUUGUGAGAUUGCUCAGUUGAUUCUCUUUCAACCAUAGGACACAGCAAUGUUAAACAAAAGCAGCUUCUAUCGUCUUAUGUUAUUCCUCACCACAUUUCAACUUCUUUUUUUUAUCAAA